UUUAGAUCCCAUCACAGACCCCUUGACAGUUGAGGGUUGGUUUUUUUUUUGUUCUUGUUUUUGUUUUUUUGUUUUGUUUUGUUUGUUGACAUCCUCAUUUUGUGAUACGUUGAAUUCAGAAGGAUUCUUUUGUUUUGGUUUCAUGAGCCUGGGUGUCUGUAAUUAUAGGUUUCUUACUUGAGUUGCUUUACUGAAAACACUGACAAUCUCCCCAGCAGCUCAGAGAAAGGCUCACCACCAGAAAUCUGCUGUUCCCACUCAGCACCACCUCAGACUUUCGGCUGCUAGAAUGGCAAAGCCUGGCAGUUCAGUUGUAAAUUAAACAAAUCCCAACUACUGGAAAGAACAUACUGGUGGCAAAGAAAAGUCUGCCUCAUGACCCAGACAGAAUGAAUGCUCAUUAGUCAGCUCUAUUAGAAUGAUGUAUAAAAGCUUCUGAGAGUGAAGGUGGCCUCGCUUAAGACUUUUUGACUCAGGCUGCUUUGUCAAUUUAGGUCAACAGCUCUGCGAGUAAGGCUAAUAGCAGCAUGCCUCCAGGCACUGUCAGACUGGCACUUCAAUCUUGACAUGAGCAGCUGAACAAUAUGCAAGAAAAAAGGGGUGCUAGGAGGGUCAGAGGGACUCUUGGUUGAAAGGCAGCAGUCAAAAGACAUUGUCUCAAGAAAAUUUCUCAGUUGCAAGAAACCUAGCACAGCUUGAACCAUUCCCCUGAAUUAUUUACCUGAUGAAAAAUACACCCAAAAAGCCCCCUUUAAUAGAAAAGUUAGAAUGCAUGUGAUGUGCCUGCUCAGCAAAAUUAGGUAAUUGGAGGUUUAUUUGCUGAAUGUCCAAAAUUAUCAGCAGGAAACCAAAGAAGAAGGAGGUUACAGUGUAACAGCUUAAGGGAAAGGCUAAAGUGAUCUGGAUGGCCCCACACUGAAGAGUGGGUAAACCAUUUUGAUGAAAACCAGAUGCCAUGUCAUUGCUCAGGUUGAGUGAGUAGACUUGAACCUACCAAAUAAUGACUUAAUUACAGAGACCUAUAACAUUAAA